CGAAGCCUGACGGAGCAAUACCGCGUGAGGGAAGAAGGCUUUUGGGUUGUAAACCUCUUUUGUCAGGGAAGAAGAAUUGACGGUACCUGAAGAAAAAGCAUCGGCUAACUCCGUGCCAGCAGCCGCGGUAAUACGGAGGAUGCAAGCGUUAUCCGGAAUCAUUGGGCGUAAAGGGUCCGCAGGUGGCGAAUAAAGUCUGCUGUUAAAGACCGGGGCUAAACUCUGGAAAGGCAGUGGAAACUGAUUAGCUAGAGUACGGUAGGGGUAGAGGGAAUUCCCAGUGUAGCGGUGAAAUGCGUAGAUAUUGGGAAGAACACCGGUGGCGAAAGCGCCCUACUAGGCCGAAACUGACACUGAGGGACGAAAGCUAGGGUAGCGAAAGGGAUUAGAUACCCCUGUAGUCUUAGCGGUAAACGAUGGAUACUAGGUGUAGCUUGUAUCGACCCGAGCUGUGCCGAAGCUAACGCGAUAAGUAUCCCGCCUGGGGAGUACGCACGCAAGUGUGAAACUCAAAGGAAUUGACGGGGGCCCGCACAAGCGGUGGAGUAUGUGGUUUAAUUCGAUGCAACGCGAAGAACCUUACCAGGGCUUGACAUGUCGCGAAUCUGGCGGAAACGUUAGAGUGCCUUAGGGAAUGCGAACACAGGUGGUGCAUGGCUGUCGUCAGCUCGUGUCGUGAGAUGUUGGGUUAAGUCCCGCAACGAGCGCAACCCUCGUCCUUAGUUGCUAAUAUUAAGUUAGGCACUCUAGGGAGACUGCCGGGGACAACUCGGAGGAAGGUGGGGAUGACGUCAAGUCAGCAUGCCCCUUACGUCCUGGGCGACACACGUACUACAAUGGUUGGGACAAAGGGCAGCAAGCUCGCGAGAGUAAGCGAAUCUCAUCAAACCCAGCCACAGUUCAGAUUGCAGGCUGCAACUCGCCUGCAUGAAGUAGGAAUCGCUAGUAAUCGCAGGUCAGCAUACUGCGGUGAAUUCGUUCCCGGGCCUUGUACACACCGCCCGUCACACCAUGGAAGCUGGCUACGCCCGAAGUCGUUACCCUAACCCGGUUUUGGGAGGGGGAUGCCGAAGGUAGAGCUAGUGACUGGGGUGAAGUCGUAACAAGGUAGCCGUACCGGAAGGUGUGGCUGGAUCACCUCCUUU
rnacentral:rRNA from 1 species